AGCAUCCGUAGCUCGUUUUGUAAGUUUUCGGUUAAAUCCAUGCGCUUAACGUAUGGGCUGCCGGGAAUACUGCAUAACUAGGAAGUGGGAGAGGCAGACGGUACUCGGUAGGAAGGGGUAAAAUCCUUUGAUCUAUUGAUGACCACCUGUGGCGAAGGCGGUCUACCAGAACACGUUCGACGGUGAGGGAUGAAAGCUGGGCGAGCAAACCGGAUUAGAUACCCGGGUAGUCCCAGCUGUAAACUAUGCAAACUCAGUGAUGCAUUGGCUUGUGGCCAAUGCAGUGCUGCAGGGAAGCCGUUAAGUUUGCCGCCUGGGAAGUACGUACGCAAGUAUGAAACUUAAAGGAAUUGGCGGGGGAGCACAAG
rnacentral:rRNA from 2 species